AUGAGGUGGUCUUUUUGGGACAGUCUUAUUAAGAAGCUGAUCUUUAGGGUUUUUUUGUCUCCAAGUGAAGCAGCCAAAAAUAGUAUUAUUCAAACAAAAACACUGAAUUUUCACAAAAAAGAAAGAAAGAAAAAAAAGUUUCAACAUCAACCACCACUAAACAAACUACAACAACAGCCACGACAACCUUAGAUGUCCAAUCCAAGACAAGGCUGCCAACCAGCAAAGCAAAGAAAACCCAGAGUAAGUUCAUCCACUCUUCCUCAAUGAGAAAAGUCACUGUGUAGAAUGAAUAUGUUGGAUUCAAGUCAUAUUAAAAAAUACAGCUGGGAUGCAGUUUCAAAGUUUAUUGGUACAUAGUAGGCUGUAGCACACAGAGAAUUAAAUAAAGAUGUGAUUUUCAACA
ensembl:lncRNA